rnacentral:rRNA from 1 species
CCUACGGGAGGCAGCAGUGGGGAAUAUUGCACAAUGUGGGGAACCCUGAUGCAGCGACGCCGCGUGAGUGAAGCAGUAUUUCGGUAUGUAAAGCUCUAUCAGCAGGAACGAGACAAGACGGUACCUGACUAAGAAGCCCCGGCUAACUACGUGCCAGCAGCCGCGGGAAUACGUAGGGGGCAAGCGUUAUCCGGAAUCACUGGGUGGAAAGGGAGCGUAGACGGCUGAGCAAGCCUGAAGUGAAAGGCGGGGGCCCAACCCCCGGACUGCUUUGGGAACUGUACGGCUGGAGUGCAGGAGAGGUAAGUGGAAUUCCUAGUGUAGCGGUGAAAUGCGUAGAGAUUAGGAGGAACACCAGUGGCGAAGGCGGCUUACUGGACUGUAACUGACGUUGAGGCUCGAAAGUGUGGGGAGCAAACAGGAUUAGAUACCCGGGUAGUC